rnacentral:rRNA from 1 species
CCUACGGGUGGCAGCAGUCGAGAAUCUUUCACAAUGGGGGCAACCCUGAUGGAGCGACGCCGCGUGGAGGAUAAGGUCUUCGGAUUGUAAACUCCUGUCAUGCGAGAGCAAGAUACCUUUAGUAACUUUAAGUUAUUUGAUAGUAUCGCAAGAGGAAGAGACGGCUAACUCUGUGCCAGCAGCCGCGGUAAUACNGAGGUCUCAAGCGUUGUUCGGAAUUACUGGGCGUAAAGGGUGCGUAGGUGGCGUGGAAAGUCAGAUGUGAAAUCCGGGGGCUCAACCUCCGAAUAGCAUCCGAUACUGCCAUGCUAGAGAACUGGAGGGGGAUCUGGAAUUCUCGGUGUAGCAGUGAGAUGCGUAGAUAUCGAGAGGAACACUAGUGGCGAAGGCGAGAUCCUGGACAGUUUCUGACACUGAUGCACGAAGGCCAGGGGAGCGAACGGGAUUAGAUACCCCGGUAGUCCUGGCAGUAAACGGUGCACGUUUGGUGUGGGAGGAAUCGACCCCUUCUGUGCCGGAGCUAGCGCGUUAAACGUGCCGCCUGGGAAGUACGGUCGCAAGAUUAAAACUCAAAGAAAUUGACGGGGACCCGCACAAGCGGUGGAGUAUGUGGCUUAAUUCGAUGCAACGCGAAGAACCU